rnacentral:lncRNA from 1 species
CAGGCAUGUGCCACCACACUUGGCAACAUUUUGUUUCUUUCUUUUUUUUUAAAUUUUAUUUGUUUUACUUAGUUACAUAUGACAAUACAAUGAUCUUGACAUAUCAUACAUUUGAAUCAGAUGGGAUAUAAUUUCUCAUUUUUCUGAGUAUAACAGGUUGCAGAAUCACAUUGGUCAUGCAGUCACAUAUAUACACACAGUAGAAUGAAUCAUUUAUUUCUUUAUAGAUUGGUUGCUCCAUCCAUAGGCAUAUCUUGGAUCAUACUACCCUCAAUGAGGAGAUCACAUGUGCCUCCUCAAAUAUCGCUCCUUAAAGUCUCUUUUGACCAAACUACCUGAAAUUGCUCCUCACUAUCCUACCCUACACAAUUACUCGGCUAUGUUUUUAUAGCUUUUACCAGUAAUCAAGAUAGAAAGUACACAUCCUUAUUUAUGAUUUGUCUGCCAUCUUAACUACAUCCAAUUAUAAUAUAAACUAUUUGAAGACUAACUACUUACUUGCCCAUACUUCUAUCUUUAGCCCUUAAAGAGACUCUGGAAUGUAAUAAUUUCUCAGGAAAUAUUAAUUAAAUAAAU